CUUGGUGUGUGUNUGCAUGUCGGAUCCCUGUCUUGGCAGCGAAGGCAUGUGACACACGUCUUUUCAAUUGCUGGCUUGAGCGAAGAUUUGCUUUGGCCGANUUGGGUUUCUUGUGUUGCAUACCCCAUUGAGGUACUUGAUUGGCCUAAUAGUUCGAAUUCUAACAUGCACCGAACCCUUUGUGGUUGUGGUGUGAGUUAGACCACGAAGAAUCCAUAGUGUUCCACUUCCCAAGUGCUUACCUGUGUUUUGGGAUGUUGGAACUUUAUGGAUUGCUUGAUCUCUCGGAUACGGAAAAUUGUGUGGGUAUGAGGCAUGCUUGCUUCUAUUUACCCUAAAAUUAGGCGUUCGACGCUCUUGCGGAUGACUGGUGUUAUCAUUUUGGUUGGGUCCUUGAGGCUCGAAUCAUGUGUUAACACGGUCGGUGAGGAA
rnacentral:misc_RNA from 1 species